GUAGCUCAGUGGAUAGAGUGACGGUUUCCGAAGCCGGAGGUCGCAGGUUCAAAUCCCGCC
rnacentral:tRNA from 1 species